CCAGACAGCCAGGAUGUUGGCUUAGAAGCAGCCAUCAUUUAAAGAAAGCGUAAUAGCUCACUGGUCGAGUCGGCCUGCGCGGAAGAUGUAACGGGGCUAAACCAUGCACCGAAGCUGCGGCAGCGACGCUGAUGCGUUGUUGGGUAGGGGAGCGUUCUGUAAGCCUGUGAAGGUGUGCUGUGAGGGUUGCUGGAGGUAUCAGAAGUGCGAAUGCUGACAUAAGUAACGAUAAAGCGGGUGAAAAGCCCGCUCGCCGGAAGAC
rnacentral:rRNA from 1 species